rnacentral:rRNA from 1 species
GAUGAACGCUGGCGGCGUGCCUAAUACAUGCAAGUCGAGCGAACGGACGAGAAGUUUGCUUCUUUGUUGUUUGCGGCGGACGGGUGAGUAACACGUGGAUAACCUCCCUAUCAGACUGGGAUAAUUUCGGGAAACCGGAGCUAAUACCGGAUAAUAUUUUGCACCGCAUGGUUCAAAAGUGAAAGACGGUCUUGCUGUCACUUAUCGAUGGAUACGCGCUGCUUUAGCUAGUUGGUAAGGUAACGGCUUACCAAGGCUACUAUGCAUAGCCGACCUGAGAGGGUGAUCGGCCACACGGGAACUGGGACGCGGUCCAUGCUCCUACGAGAGGCAGCAGUAGGGAAUCUGCCGCAAUGGGCGAAAGCCUGACGGAGCAACGGCGCGUGAGUGAUGAAGGUCUUCGGAUCGUAAAACUCUGUUAUUAGGGAAGAACAGAUGUGUAAGGAACUGUGCACAUCUUGACGGUACCUAAUCAGAAAGCCACGGCUAACUACGUG